CUAGCUACAGGCUUAACACAUGCAAGUCGAGGGGCAUCAGGAAGAAAGCUUGCUUUCUUUGCUGGCGACCGGCGCACGGGUGAGUAACACGUAUCCAACCUGCCCUUUACUCGGGGAUAGCCUUUCGAAAGAAAGAUUAAUACCCGAUAGCAUAAUGAUUCCGCAUGGUUUCAUUAUUAAAGGAUUCCGGUAAAGGAUGGGGAUGCGUUCCAUUAGGUUGUUGGUGAGGUAACGGCCCACCAAGCCUUCGAUGGAUAGGGGUUCUGAGAGGAAGGUCCCCCACAUUGGAACUGAGACACGGUCCAAACUCCUACGGGAGGCAGCAGUGAGGAAUAUUGGUCAAUGGGCGCUAGCCUGAACCAGCCAAGUAGCGUGAAGGAUGAAGGCUCUAUGGGUCGUAAACUUCUUUUAUAUAAGAAUAAAGUGCAGUAUGUAUACUGUUUUGUAUGUAUUAUAUGAAUAAGGAUCGGCUAACUCCGUGCCAGCAGCCGCGGUAAUACGGAGGAUCCGAGCGUUAUCCGGAUUUAUUGGGUUUAAAGGGAGCGUAGGUGGACUGGUAAGUCAGUUGUGAAAGUUUGCGGCUCAACCGUAAAAUUGCAGUUGAUACUGUCAGUCUUGAGUACAGUAGAGGUGGGCGGAAUUCGUGGUGUAGCGGUGAAAUGCUUAGAUAUCACGAAGAACUCCGAUUGCGAAGGCAGCUCACUGGACUGCAACUGACACUGAUGCUCGAAAGUGUGGGUAUCAAACAGGAUUAGAUACCCUGGUAGUCCACACAGUAAACGAUGAAUACUCGCUGUUUGCGAUAUACAGUAAGCGGCCAAGCGAAAGCAUUAAGUAUUCCACCUGGGAAGUACGCCGGCAACGGUGAAACUCAAAGGAAUUGACGGGGGCCCGCACAAGCGGAGGAACAUGUGGUUUAAUUCGAUGAUACGCGAGGAACCUUACCCGGGCUUAAAUUGCAGUGGAAUGAUGUGGAAACAUGUCAGUGAGCAAUCACCGCUGUGAAGGUGCUGCAUGGUUGUCGUCAGCUCGUGCCGUGAGGUGUCGGCUUAAGUGCCAUAACGAGCGCAACCCUUAUCUUUAGUUACUAACAGGUUAUGCUGAGGACUCUAGAGAGACUGCCGUCGUAAGAUGUGAGGAAGGUGGGGAUGACGUCAAAUCAGCACGGCCCUUACGUCCGGGGCUACACACGUGUUACAAUGGGGGGUACAGAAGGCAGCUAGCGGGUGACCGUAUGCUAAUCCCAAAAUCCUCUCUCAGUUCGGAUCGAAGUCUGCAACCCGACUUCGUGAAGCUGGAUUCGCUAGUAAUCGCGCAUCAGCCACGGCGCGGUGAAUACGUUCCCGGGCCUUGUACACACCGCCCGUCAAGCCAUGGGAGCCGGGGGUACCUGAAGUACGUAACCGCAAGGAUCGUCCUAGGGUAAAACUGGUGACUGG
rnacentral:rRNA from 1 species